UGAGGAAUAUUGGUCAAUGGGCGGGAGCCUGAACCAGCCAAGUCGCAUGAGGGAAGACGGUCCUAUGGAUUGUAAACCUCUUUUGUCGGGGAGCAAAGAGGCCACGUGUGGUCAAAAGCGAGAGUACCCGAAGAAAAGCAUCGGCUAACUCCGUGCCAGCAGCCGCGGUAAUACGGAGGAUGCGAGCGUUAUCCGGAUUUAUUGGGUUUAAAGGGUGCGUAGGCGGGACGGUAAGUCAGCGGUAAAAAUGCGGAGCUCAACUCCGUCGAGCCGUUGAAACUGCCGUUCUUGAGUGAGCGAGAAGUAUGCGGAAUGCGUGGUGUAGCGGUGAAAUGCAUAGAUAUCACGCAGAACUCCGAUUGCGAAGGCAGCAUACCGGCGCUCAACUGACGCUGAAGCACGAAGGCGUGGGUAUCGAACAGGAUUAGAUACC
rnacentral:rRNA from 1 species